UACGUAGGGUGCGAGCGUUGUCCGGAAUCAUUGGGCGUAAAGGGUGUGUAGGCGGUUGUGUUAGUCUUUUGUUAAAGCUCCCGGCUUAACCGGGAAGAUGCAAUUGAUACGGCACAACUAGAGGGUGCGAGAGGUGUACAGAACUCAUAGUGUAGGGGUGAAAUCCGUUGAUAUUAUGGGGAAUACCAAAAGCGAAGGCAGUACACUGGCGCAUUCCUGACGCUGAAACACGAAAGCGUGGGUAGCGAAUGGG
rnacentral:rRNA from 1 species